GGCUCAGGAUGAACGCUAGCGGCAAGCUUAAUACAUGCAAGUCGAGGGGCAGCAUGACUGUAGCAAUACAGUUGAUGGCGACCGGCAAACGGGUGCGGAACACGUACAGAACCUUCCUUCGAGCGGGGAAUAGCCCAGAGAAAUUUGGAUUAAUACCCCAUAGUAUAUUGGAGUGGCAUCACUUUGAUAUUAAAGAUUUAUCACUUGAAGAUGGCUGUGCGGCUGAUUAGAUAGUUGGCGGGGUAACGGCCCACCAAGUCUGCGAUCAGUAACUGGUGUGAGAGCACGACCAGUCACACGGGCACUGAGACACGGGCCCGACUCCUACGGGAGGCAGCAGUAAGGAAUAUUGGUCAAUGGACGAAAGUCUGAACCAGCUAUGCCGCGUGGAGGAUGAAGGCCCUCUGGGUUGUAAACUUCUUUUAUAUGGGACGAAAAAGGGCCUUUCUAGGUCAACUGACGGUACCAUGUGAAUAAGCACCGGCUAACUCCGUG
rnacentral:rRNA from 1 species